UGAUCCAGUUGUUUGGUCGGCAUGUAUCGAUUUUUGUACACGAGUGAAUGCCCUGGAAUUGAAAAUCUUUGUAUAUCACUUAUAUGUAUUUUCAAUUAAAUAGUGUGUAGUUGUUUCUUAACAUUUUUUUUUUUUGGUGGUUGGUUAUCUGCAAUACCCCUUUUUUCUUUA